rnacentral:rRNA from 1 species
AGAGUUUGAUCAUGGCUCAGAUUGAACGCUGGCGGCAUGCCUAACACAUGCAAGUCGAACGGUAACAGGCCGCAAGGUGCUGACGAGUGGCGGACGGGUGAGUAAUACGUAGGUAUCUGCCCUGUAGUGGGGGAUAACCCGGGGAAACUCGGGCUAAUACCGCAUACGCUCUUUUAUCGUUGAGAUAGGAGAGGAAAGCGAGGGACCGAAAGGCCUCGCGCUAGAGGAUGAGCCUACGCCCGAUUAGCUAGUUGGUAGGGUAAAGGCCUACCAAGGCGACGAUCGGUAGCUGGUCUGAGAGGAUGGCCAGCCACACUGGGACUGAGACACGGCCCAGACUCCUACGGGAGGCAGCAGUGGGGAAUAUUGGACAAUGGGGGAAACCCUGAUCCAGCGAUGCCGCGUGGGUGAAGAAGGCCUGCGGGUUGUAAAGCCCUUUCAGUGGGGAAGAAAAACGGGGUGUGAAAAGCACUUCGUCUUGACGUUACCCACAGAAGAAGCACCGGCUAACUCCGUGCCAGCAGCCGCGGUAAUACGGAGGGUGCGAGCGUUAAUCGGAAUUACUGGGCGUAAAGGGCGCGUAGGCGGUUAGGUAAGUCGAGUGUGAAAGCCCUGGGCUUAACCUGGGAAUGGCAUUCGAGACCACCUAUCUAGAGUCUGGUAGAGGGAAGUGGAAUUUCCGGUGUAGCGGUGAAAUGUGUAGAUAUCGGAAGGAACACCAGUGGCGAAGGCGACUUCCUGGACCAAGACUGACGCUGAGGCGCGAAAGCGUGGGGAUCAAACAGGAUUAGAUACCCCUGUAGUCC